rnacentral:rRNA from 1 species
CCUACGGGAGGCAGCAGUGAGGAAUAUUGGUCAAUGGACGAGAGUCUGAACCAGCCAAGUAGCGUGAAGGAUGACUGCCCUAUGGGUUGUAAACUUCUUUUAUAUGGGAAUAAAACGUUCCACGUGUGGGAUUUUGUAUGUACCAUAUGAAUAAGGAACGGCUAACUCCGUGCCAGCAGCCGCGGUAAUCCGGAGGAUCCGAGCGUUAUCAGGAUUUAUUGGGUUAAAAGGGAGCGUAGGUGGAUUGUUAAGUCAGUUGUGAAAGUUUGCGGCUAAACCGUAAAAUUGCAGGUGAAACUGGCAAUCUUGAGUACAGUAGAGGUGGGCGGAAUUCGUGGUGUAGCGGUGAAAUGCUUAGAUAUCACGAAGAACUCCGAUUGCGAAGGCAGUUCACUGGACUGCAACUGACACUGAGGCUCGAAAGUGUAGGUAUCAAACAGGAUUAGAUACCCGUGUAGUC